AGCAGCCACCUUUUAAAACGCGUCAAAGCGUAACCUUAAUCUCACAAAAUACCAUCAACCUUCAUGAACCCUUAAUUUAUAAUGAAUGACUCCAUAUUAAUAUGGAAGACACCAUGUUAGGAUUAGUAACAAGAAUUUAUAAUUCUCCAAAAUGCAAAUAUAAACCAACAUGGAUCGACCAUUGGUAAUUACCGAACCUAAACCUACUGCAAUAACGCCACAAGAAAACCCUGCAGUAUUUACUCGUUAACCUAACACUAGCGCAUUCCAGGAAAGAUUUAAAAAAAGAGAAGGAAUUCGGCAAAUGACGGCCCCGCCUGUUUACCAAAAACAUCGCCUCUUGGCUAUAAUAAGAGGUCCAGCCUGCCCAGUGAAUUUUAAACGGCCGCGGUAUCCUAACCGCGCGAAGGUAGCAUAAUCACUUGUUCUUUAAAUGGGGACUCGUAUCAACGGCAUCACGAGGGUUUUACUGUCUCCUCUUUUUGAUCAGUGAAAUUGAUCUUCCCGUGAAGAAGCGGGAAUAUUAAUAUAAGACGAGAAGACCCCAUGGAGCUUCAAACCAAAUAACAACUUAACCACUUAACCCAUAAUAAAUUUAAGCCAUGUUAUAAGGUUUUGGGUUGGGGUGACCGCGGAGUAAAGCACAUCCUCCACGACGGAAAGAACACAAUCUUUAUUUAAGAACUACAAUUCUAGAAAUUAGUAUACUAACGUUUACUGACCCGAUAAUCGAUCAACGGACCAAGUUACCCUGGGGAUAACAGCGCAAUCUACUUCAAGAGCUCAUAUCGACAAGUAGGCUUACGACCUCGAUGUUGGAUCAGGGUAUCCCGGUGGUGCAGCCGCUACCGAAGGUUCGUUUGUUCAACGAUUAAAACCCUAC
rnacentral:rRNA from 1 species